CCCGUCUUGAAACACGGACCAAGGAGUUUAUCGUGUGCGCAAGUCAUUGGGUGUUGAAAACUCAAAGGCGCAAUGAAAGUAAAGAAUCCGCAAGGAUACGACGUGUGAUCUGAGCAAUCACGAUUGCCUGGAGCAACAUGGCCCCAUUCUGGUCGCUUGCGACGGGGUGGAGGAAGAGCGUACGCGGUGAGACCCGAAAGAUGGUGAACUAUUCCUGAGCAGGAUGAAGCCAGAGGAAACUCUGGUGGAAGUCCGAAGCGAUUCUGACGUGCAAAUCGAUCGUCUGACUUGGGUAUAGGGGCGAAAGACUAAUCGAACCAUCUAGUAGCUGGUUCCUUCCGAA
rnacentral:rRNA from 1 species